rnacentral:rRNA from 1 species
UGUGAACGCUGGCGGUAGGCCUAACACAUGCCAGUCGAACGGCAGCACAGUAAGAGCUUGCUCUUACGGGUGGCGAGUGGCGGACGGGUGAGGAAUACAUCGGAAUCUACUUUUUCGUGGGGGAUAACGUAGGGAAACUUACGCUAAUACCGCAUACGACCUACGGGUGAAAGCAGGGGAUCUUCGGACCUUGCGCGAUUGAAUGAGCCGAUGUCGGAUUAGCUAGUUGGCGGGGUAAAGGCCCACCAAGGCGACGAUCCGUAGCUGGUCUGAGAGGAUGAUCAGCCACACUGGAACUGAGACACGGUCCAGACUCCUACGGGAGGCAGCAGUGGGGAAUAUUGGACAAUGGGCGCAAGCCUGAUCCAGCCAUACCGCGUGGGUGAAGAAGGCCUUCGGGUUGUAAAGCCCUUUUGUUGGGAAAGAAAAGCAGCAGGUUAAUACCCCGCUGUUCUGACGGUACCCAAAGAAUAAGCACCGGCUAACUUCGUG